CAUGAACAUUGAUGUUGAUUUUUGCUGAUAAGAAAUUGUUACUUUGCCUAUAUUCGUUGAUGAUGGGACAGAAAUCAUGAACAUUUGAAUGUGAGCAAUUACUCCUAUAGUAGGUGGACCUGUAAGAAUACAAAAAUUUCCUUAAUUUAUAGCCAUAAUAGAUAUGCAUGCAUUAUGUCAACAAAUCACUAUAAACUCAUACCACAACUGCUCAGAGUUUGCUGCCGGACUGAACUUUCUCCAUGCAUCUUUAUUUUUGUCAAUAUAAUGGCUUUCUUCAGUUUAAUUGAGUAUUCAGCUCUAUGUAUGACCUCAUUGGCAAUAUUAUUAUACCAUCCAAGUUUCCUAUAUUUCCAUCUUCUUCCUUUAUAUAUUUUCAUCUUUUUCCUUAUGUAUUUUGUGCAAUGGCCAUUCUACAUAACUGCAUGCUUUACAUUUUUUAUCAUAUGAGCAAGCUUAACAUAAUUGCGAAAAAAGAUUCAGCAUCUUUAGAAUUCAAUGUUCAUAUUGUAAAAUUUUCCAAAAUUUAUUCUUUUAACUUGUAUAAAUUAAUUGGCUUUUGGAUUUUGUUUCCAUAAUAUUCUGAAGUGUAAAUUGCAGGGAGUGAAGGCCUUUCUGAAUGGCUCGAGGACCCGACAUAUCCAAACACCACUUUAUCAUGGAAUGUCAUUCAUGGAAGUGGUAUUAUCCACCAGGAAAUACUGAAAUCUUCAACUUAUUAUGUUGCAGCAGGGAACUUGAACUCAGAGGAUGUAGAGGUGCAGUUAAACGUCAGUAUAAAAGCUUUCCUUUACAAUACAACUGAAGCUUAUUACAAAUGUACUUUCGUUGAUGGCAUAUGUGGCUUGAGCAUGUUGUUACCCAAUGGAAAUGUUGUUGUCUUAACGUCUCCUGGUCUAGAAGAGGAUUCACCAAGUAAUGAGUGGUAUGUCACACUGACCUAUGGACCAAGAUGGGUAACAUAUAUUGUUGGCAUAGCUGCAAUGACUGUGCUUACAUUGUCAGCAUUCAACUUCUUGAACAAGUUACGAUGUAUUCAUGAAGAAGGAACUGGAGUUCAGUAUGGGGAGGCGGAACCUGUGAGAGCUCCUCUUCUUUCAUAUAAGGACGAUGAUCUCUCAAGUUGGGGCUCUUCUUAUGAUUCAGUCUCAAAUGAUGAGGAGGAUCUUGAAUAUUUUCUAGCAUCAGGUUCCUUGGAAGGUAAGUCAUCAAAAGAUGGUGAAAAUGACAAUAAUACACGGCGUCUUUGUGCAAUUUGCUUUGAUGCUCCAAGGGAUUGCUUCUUCCUCCCAUGUGGGCACUGUGUUGCCUGUUUUGCAUGUGGAACAAGGUAAUUACUUAUUACCCCACUGACAACUUUUUGGUGCCAUUCCUGACUGUAAUGGAACUAUGUGCUCUCAAACAGAGAACAAUAUUGUAUUUAUGCCAAUUCUUCCUUGAUCUUACAAGGACAUGUCAUGAUCUAAGCCUAAGAUGAGCUUUUGGAUUAAGUAAUUGGCUUGGUAGAUAGCACAGUUCUCUAAAGACUUUAACACAGCAUAUAUUUCACUGGAGAAUGCAACACAGCAUGCAUAUAGUUAUCUUGAAUGUUUACAAUGAAUUGGUUUGUGGUGAACUCAUUUUUUGGGCUUUCCAGCAUUUUCCUAGAGGCAAUAGCAUAAAGAAGCCAUUUCCUUUACAUGAAAUUGUAAAGCUGCUGGUGAACCAGAAAACAGGAACUGAAACGCUUUGACAUGAAAUUGCAGAAAGCAUGUGUGCAUACCAUAGGAGUGACAUGAGAGAGUAUGAAUGAGUAAUAAUACCUUAUAUUGAGGAUAUUUCCUUUGCCUAAUUAAGAAUUUUGAGGAUAUUUUUUUGUUUCUAUUAUAGUCUCAUACCCAACAUUUGCUUAUUGUGAUUGAAUAAAGACAGAAUACAUCCAUAUUGCCUAUCAAGAAAAAAAAAAGCAUAAAGAAGCUAACUUGUUAUGUUCAAGUAAUUAUGUAGUACCAAUUAAACUUAACUGCAGUUUUAGAUAAAAUUCAAUGACAAUGAUUGUACUUUAUUUAAUUCUUACCUGGUUGAACUGAUUUGGAGCUCAAAAAAAAAAAAAAAACCGAUUUGGAGCUAAAGUUGGUUUGGCAAAUCUCAGCUGGAUGCCAAUUAUAGAGAUGAAUAUAUGUGGAACAAGUCUUAUCUUUUGCAUGGUUGCAGUGGGAUGUGGACAGACUUAUAUACUGUCAUUAUCUAUUACUCAGAAUCAAUUCCUUGCCAUUCCUGAGGGGAGCUGACUGUGUAAUGGAACUGCAGCUAUAGAGAAGUUAUAAAUUUUUAAGAGUUUGGGGGCAGUAAAAAAGUUAAUCUGCCAACUGUCAAAUUGAUAUCUGUCUCACUUUCUAUGUAUUUUGGCUUCCUCCUUUUUGUCAUAGUUACUUGUAAAAUUUGAUGUACAGGAAAUUUGGAUUCUGCCAUGCCUCUUGUCAAUUUGCUUCAAACUUACUUCUCAGAGACAUUCCUUUUGGCCAGUUGGCCCAUAGAAAGUCAUUACUAAUCAUGCUUUGUAAUUUAUCUCUGCAGGAUAGCGGAGGCUGCUGGUACAUGCCCUAUAUGUCGUAGGAAUAUGAAGAAGGUGAGAAAGAUUUUUACCGUCUAAGCAUUUAAGCAGCAUGACAUUAUUUGCAGUUACACCAUUACUUUCAUGCUAAUGGAUAUUGAUAGAGUUGCAUUGGUCUGGUAAAUCAUAGAUGGAAGGAGAUCAAACAUUGUCUUUAAAUUGUAAUGACCAUGCAUUUUUUCCCCAUUUGGCCCUCCAUCAUGUCACAUUGUACCUCGGUAUAGAACUUCAGAAUACAUGUGCUUAAGUUGACAUAAUUCAGAGGUGUAUAUGUUAUUAUGAUCAUUUGUUUUUAAAUAUUAUUCUUUGAUAGAUUAUUU
rnacentral:misc_RNA from 1 species